AUUAUGGAUACACUUAAGAAAUAUAUAUUUGGUACCAUAAACUUUUGACCAUGUAGCUACUCACGUAAUGUAGACAUCAAAUGUUUGUGUAUAAAUUAUAUUUUACAAAGUAAACAUGGUCAAGCUAUCAUUAUAUUUGCAAUAUUUCAUAGCGUGGCUAGAAGACUUGGUCUACGUUGCGAUAUAAUACUUAUUUGGCCUCGCUAUUGUAUAUUUUGGAGACCGAAAUUCGUCACAAGUAGUUUAAAAAAUGCACAAUGCUUUCACAUAAAAAACGAGAAUUUCCCGAAUUGUCUUUUUUAUCAUAUAUCAGUGUACAGGAUGCAAACAAAUUGCUUUCGCGACCUCGCAAUAACAACUAAAAAGAUGUUGAUGUUAACAAAAAAUACUGUUAUAGAUUUUAUAACGGAACACAAUAAAAACUUUGCGAUUACACCAAAUUGAUUGUAAUAAGUAAAGAACAUACGCGCACUAACAAUCGCAUAUUAGUAUAUAAUAUAUAUACAAUUGUAAAAAUAUUGAACUUUGUGAGAUUCUUUUGGAUAAUAAUUCUUUUAGAUAACAAUAUGUAUAAUAUACAAUUUUUUAUCA